rnacentral:rRNA from 1 species
UACGUAGGGCGCAAGCGUUGUCCGGAAUUAUUGGGCGUAAAGAGCUCGUAGGCGGUUUGUCACGUCGGCUGUGAAAACCCGAGGCUCAACCUCGGGCCUGCAGUCGAUACGGGCAGACUAGAGUGCUGUAGGGGGAGACUGGGAAUUCCUGGUGUAGCGGUGAAAUGCGCAGACUAUCAGGAGGAACACCGGUGGCGAAGGCGGGUCUCUGGGCAACAACUGACGUGAGGAGCGAAAGCGUGGGGAGCGAACAGG